rnacentral:lncRNA from 10 species
GAAAUCUCUGUUAAUAUGGAGAAUCCAAGAUCUCAUCCUUGAAAUUCUGCUUGAGUGACUCUAGAAGGGUGCCUGGGAAUCUAUAUUUUUACAGAGCUUCCCAAGGAAAUCUGAUGAUCAGCCAGGUUUCUACAAGUGAAUUUCUGCUGACCUGCAAGAUUUAUGGUGAACCAAGAUUUGGCUAAAUCCUAACAGGUAGGCCAGAAAUCACCAGGCAAGCCUAUUCUUGACAAGGCUGCAAUAUGCACAGCUGGAGGAGGGAGAGCACAUCUAUUGUGCUGGCUACUUGACAAAGCUUUGCCUUUAAAUGUUACUAGCUGAUUGAAUGCAUCCAUGGUCCUUGCAACCCAGCCCCGCUGCUUUAAUUAGCUUACAUCCCAACAAUAUCUUGCCAGUUCCAAUUUGGCUAAAUUAUCUCCAGAACAUACAGAAAAAAUGAUGAGUGUUCAGGGGUUUGUUUCUGUUUUUGCUUCCAUUUCUGUUUCAGUGGAUGAAUAGAUCUAUUUCCUUAGACUCUCUUUUCCUUCCUAUGGGUAGGGGUGGGAAAGAGAGGAUGAGCCAGAGGGAGAGGAAGGAAGAGAUUGGACUUUGGGUUGGAAGCACAGUGACUCCCCAGCUUCCACAGAAGUUUAACAGUUACCACCACCAUGCAGGGAGGAAGUGAAUCCCCCACUCCUGAGAAUCUGAAUCCAGGCCCUUAUUCCUGGAGCUUGCUGGAGUCAGCACAUAUGUCCAAGAAGACUGAUAAGAACAGUAUCACAGAAAGAUGUUUGCAUACACAUCUUUGCUAGCACAGGAAAGGCUGGCAGGGUGUUGGUCGUUUGUGCGGAAAAGCAAGUGAUGAUGUCUCAAAGAUGACGCCACAAAAUGAAUAUAGGCUUGUGGAAGGUGGGGGUAGGCCCCAGUGGCCAGACAUUGGCUGGUGAGCAGAGUGCAGUGUGUAUCCCAUCUUCUAUCUACUCUCCAGUAGCACAAAGUGCUCCAUUAGGAUUGAGGGUAGGAUAACCUAGGCUAACUUACUUAGCUCAUCAGUUCCUUUCUGGGGCAGAGUUCCUUCCCACCCACUGCAGGGUCUCAGGCCACAUCAGAAUAUUUUACAGAAGGGGUUCUUGGUAAGGUUGAGAAGACUGUUAGCAUAACCAUGUACCUGAGUUAUACCAAGAGGAAGUCAAUCUGAGCAGAAGAAAGGGUUUCUGGAAUCUCUCUUACUUCCUCCUAUGAGUAGGACCUGAAGUCUCCUCCCACAACUCUGGCUUUGAAGAGAAUAAUGGAUGGAAUGCAGUGACCAGCAGCCUGGCCAGAAGCCACAAG